rnacentral:rRNA from 1 species
ACGAACGCUGGCGGCGUGCUUAACCCAUGCAAGUCGCACGGAAAGGCCCUGCUUUUGUGGGGUGCUCGAGUGGCGAACGGGUGAGUAACACGUGAGUAACCUGCCCUUGACUUUGGGAUAACUUCAGGAAACUGGGGCUAAUACCGGAUAGGAGCUCCUGCUGCAUGGUGGGGGUUGGAAAGUUUCGGCGGUUGGGGAUGGACUCGCGGCUUAUCAGCUUGUUGGUGGGGUAGUGGCUUACCAAGGCUUUGACGGGUAGCCGGCCUGAGAGGGUGACCGGCCACAUUGGGACCGAGAUACGGCCCAGACUCCUACGGGAGGCAGCAGUGGGGAAUAUUGCACAAUGGGCGGAAGCCUGAUGCAGCAACGCCGCGUGCGGGAUGACGGCCUUCGGGUUGUAAACCGCUUUCGCCUGUGACGAAGCGUGAGUGACGGUAAUGGGUAAAGAAGCACCGGCUAACUACGUG